rnacentral:rRNA from 1 species
GAUGAACGCUAGCGGCAGGCUUAACACAUGCAAGUCGAGGGGUAUUGGUUUUCGGACCAAGAGACCGGCGCACGGGUGCGUAACGCGUAUGCAAUCUACCUUUUGCAGAGGGAUAGCCCAGAGAAAUUUGGAUUAAUACCUCAUAGUAUAGUACUUUGGCAUCAAGGAACUAUUAAAGUCACAACGGCAAAAGAUGAGCAUGCGUCCCAUUAGCUAGUUGGUAAGGUAAACGGCUUACCAAAGGCUACGAUGGGUAGGGGUUCGUGAGAGGGAGAUCCCCCACACUGGUACUGAGACACGGACCAGACUCCUACGGGAGGCAGC